UACGUAGGGGUCCGAGCGUUGUCCGGAAUUAUUGGGCGUAAAGGGCUCGUAGGCGGUUUGUUGCGUCGGGAGUGAAAACUUACAGGCUUAACUCGUGAGCGUGCUUCCGAUACGGGCAGACUUGAGGUAUUCAGGGGAGAACGGAAUUCCUGGUGUAGCGGUGAAAUGCGCAGAUAUCAGGAGGAACACCGGUGGCGAAGGCGGUUCUCUGGGAAUAUCCUGACGCUGAGGAGCGAAAGUGUGGGGAGCGAACAGG
rnacentral:rRNA from 1 species